UACGGAGGGUGCAAGCGUUGUUCGGAAUUACUGGGCGUAAAGCGCGUGUAGGCGGCCUGGCAAGUCAGACGUGAAAGCCCUCGGCUUAACCGGGGAAGUGCGCCUGAAACUGCCAGGCUUGAGUACGGGAGAGGGAGGCGGAAUUCCCAGUGUAGAGGUGAAAUUCGUAGAUAUUGGGAGGAACACCGGUGGCGAAAGCGGCCUCCUGGACCGAUACUGACGCUGAGACGCGAGAGCGUGGGUAGCAAACAGG
rnacentral:rRNA from 1 species